rnacentral:rRNA from 1 species
UACGUAGGGUGCAAGCGUUAUUCGGAAUUAUUGGGCGUAAAGCGUGCGCAGGCGGUUAUGUAAGUCAGCUGUGAAAUCCCCGGGCUUAACCUGGGAACUGCAGCCGAAACUGUCUUGCUAGAGUAUGGGAGAGGGAAGUGGAAUUUCCGGUGUAGCGGUGAAAUGCGUAGAUAUCGGAAGGAACAUCAGUGGCGAAGGCGACUUCCUGGACCAAUACUGACGCUCAGGUGCGAAAGCGUGGGGAGCGAACAGG